CCAUCCUGGGAAAUACUGGGGACAGAUGGGAGGAGUGACUAUAAAUAGGCUGUAUCAGGCCACUGAUAGCUGAUGGAGGAGCUGCUGGAUGAGUUGCUGGUUGGAGAGCUGGACAGAGGGAGCAGUAACAGAGAUAGAAGAUUAGUAAGAACAAAUGCGCAGGAUUUACACUAAGUAAAUUAGAAGACGUGGAAAGAGACAUUGUUCUCUGACCAAUCAAACAUUUCUUAUUUUAUCUGCGGAGGAUUCACAAAAGCUCAUUUCAUUUUCUGACCAGGAGAAAACUUCUGCAACAAAUUUGUUUCUUAUCUAAUACAUGAUGAGUCUCACAGGAGAGAAACCACAUCUGUGCUCUGAGUGUGACAAAAGCUUUACAUAUAAAUCACAGCUUCUAAGACAUCAGAGGAGUCACACAGGAGAGAGACCAUUUACAUGUUUUGAGUGUAGCAAAUGUUUUACCCAAAAGUCGUAUCUUGUUGUACAUCAGAGGAUUCACACAGGAGAGAAUCCGCAUCUGUGCUCUGAGUGUGACAAAAGCUUUACAUAUAAAUCAAAUCUACUCAUACAUCAGAGGAGUCACACAGGAGAGAGACCCUUUACAUGUUUUGAGUGUAGCAAAUGUUUUACCCAAAAGUCAUAUCUUGUUAUACAUCAGAGGAUUCACACAGGAGAGAAACCGCAUCUGUGCUCUGAGUGUGACAAAUGUUUUACAUAUAAAUCACAACUUCUCAGACAUCAGAGGAUUCACACAGGAGAGAGUCCAUUUACAUGUUCUGAAUGCAGCAAGUGUUUUUCCUCUAACACACAUCUUGUUAUACAUCAGAGGCGUCACACGGGAGAGAAACCAUUUAAAUGUUCUGAAUGCACCAUGUCUUUUUGCUGUAGGUCAGAUCUUGUUAUACAUCAGCGGAGCCACACAGGAGAAAAACCUUUUAAGUGCUUCGAAUGCAGCAAGUGUUUUACAGAGAAGAGAAAACUUACUAUACAUCAGAGGAUUCACACAGGAGAGAAACCAUAUAAAUGCUCUGAAUGCAGCAAAUGUUUUAUAGAGAAGAAGAGACUUACUAUACAUCAGAGAAGUCACACAGGAGAGAAGCCAUUUGUAUGUUCUGAAUGUAGCAAAUGUUUUUCCCGGAAGUCGCAGCUUGUUGUACAUCAGGAUAGAUACCAUAUAAAUGCUCUUAGGACAUAAUUCAGAUUUACACAUAAAUCUGAUGGUUUAUGGAGAAACCUGAUGUUUGUGGGUCAGCCUCUGGUAUUCAUUCUAUGGAAUUAGAACAGUUGCUCAGUAGCUAUGAGUAAUGUUCAUUGUAAAUAGAAUUCUGAAUUGUAGUUGUGAGAUUUUUUUAAGCAACAUUUGUUUUUUCAAAUUCUGAUAAAAAAAGUCCAGGUUUUAAGGAUAACCAUGCAUUAGCACAGGUGAAUUAAUCAGUACUCAUUCAAUUUGAUUUGAUCAUGUGGACAUGUUAUAAUACCAGUAAUCACUGCACUUGGAUCUGUUAUAUAGUAACAAUUAUUAUGCAAAAAGUUAAGGUAUGCUGUCUAUUAAGUGACUUAGAACACACAUAGGCUAAAAUCAUGUUACAAACGUUUUAUAUUCUUAUAUAAAAUAGAUACAAUCAAUAGACAUUUCAUACUGGUUCACAUAAAAGAAACAAUCACUGUAUUGAUACUACAAAUAUACAGGCACAUAAUAAAAAAUCAGGUUAGAAUAAGGGCUCCGGCAAGCAGGAGUGUUCAGUUUGCAUUUGUAUAAAAAGCUGUGUAAUGUCCUCCAGCAAUUAGUGUUGUAAAUGUCUGUCCUGUGUGUUAUUGGUAUACGUGACACUGGUGUCCCAGGGAGGGUUAAUGUGGAGGAGAGAUUUCCCUUGUUUUAUGUGUAAUAAGCGCUGCAUGUCUGCGGCAAACAGAGACUGCUACUUUGUAUCUCAUUAACAUUCUGUAACUAAACAUUGCAAUCCAAAAGUGAAUAAACAAUGGAUAAAUA